AGAGUUCGAUCCUGGCUCAGGAUGAACGCUGGCGGCGUGCUUAACACAUGCAAGUCGAACGAACCUUCGGGUUAGUGGCGGACGGGUGAGUAACGCGUGAGAAUCUGCCCUCAGGAGGGGGAUAACGGUUGGAAACGACCGCUAAUACCCCAUAUGCCUAUUGGUGAAAUGAAUUUCGCCUGAGGAUGAGCUCGCGUCUGAUUAGCUAGUUGGUGAGGUAAUGGCGCACCAAGGCUUCGAUCAGUAGCUGGUCUGAGAGGAUGAUCAGCCACACUGGGACUGAGACACGGCCCAGACUCCUACGGGAGGCAGCAGUGGGGAAUUUUCCGCAAUGGGCGAAAGCCUGACGGAGCAACGCCGCGUGAGGGACGAAGGCCUCUGGGCUGUAAACCUCUUUUCUCAAGGAAGAAGAUAUGACGGUACUUGAGGAAUAAGCCACGGCUAAUUCCGUGCCAGCCGCCGCGGUAAUAC
rnacentral:rRNA from 1 species